AUUGAACGCUGGCGGCAGGCCUAACACAUGCAAGUCGAACGAGCGGCGGACGGGUGAGUAAUGUCUGGGAAACUGCCUGAUGGAGGGGGAUAACUACUGGAAACGGUAGCUAAUACCGCAUACUAUCGGAUGUGCCCAUAUGGGAUUAGCUAGUAGGUGGGGUAAAGGCUCACCAAGGCGACGAUCCCUAGCUGGUCUGAGAGGAUGACCAGCCACACUGGGACUGAGACACGGUCCAGACUCCUACGGGAGGCAGCAGUGGGGAAUAUUGCACAAUGGGCGCAAGCCUGAUGCAGCCAUGCCGCGUGUAUGAAGAAGGCCUUAGGGUUGUAAAGUACUUUCAGCGGGGAGGCGUUACCCGCAGAAGAAGCACCGGCUAACUCCGUGCCAGCAGCCGCGGUAAUAC
rnacentral:rRNA from 1 species